UCUCUCUCUCUCUCUCUCUCGCUCUCUAUUCAUAUCAAUUUGGGCAUUUUUUGGCAUUUUUUAAUCCUUCAAAUAACAUUGUGCAAUGAUUUGUGUAUUGGGAAUUUUUGAGUUUCGAAUCCCUAAUUAGGGAUUUGUAGUGUCGAUUCCCUAAUUGAGGAUUUUCUGAUAUUACAAAUUAGGGAUUUGGGGAUUUUAGAAUUUUGGGGAUCUUGAGAAUUUUUGAAAUUGGGAAUUUCAGGUGGUUUUGAUAGCUGAUUUGGUAGAUUUGAUGUUUAUUUGUUCAUAUUUUAUUUAUUUAUAGGGUUUUGAUGGUCGAUUGGGAGGAUUUGAUGGUUAUUUAUUCAUGUUUUCUUGAUUUUUAGGGUUUUGGCAGCCGAUUUGGAGGUUUUGGUGUUAACUACAAUAUUCCCUAGUGGCUUUUUGAUGAUGGACUAGCCAGUGUAUCUAGUAGAGAUAGGUUUUGGUAUAUACUUUCCUUUUCACAGAGUAUUAGGUCCUUUAUCUUAUUCUUUAAUGGGUGUUCCUCUCUUUUCACCAACAGUAAUUUGGUGGCUAGCUUUCCAUAUACAGAAAAAGAUCAAGUUGUAGAAUGCUUUAGAGCGAACUACCCCUAUUCUGGGAAAGCAAAAAGUAUAAAGAUCAGGAACUGUGGCUUUUGUCUGUCGAAAUUAUAUAGCCAUGUAAUUUUUACUCAUGGUAUCUGAGGAAAUUUCUUUAUGUUUUGACUCUACAUGCAAAUAAAUUUGAAUUCCAUGCAUUUGCAGACUAUGAAUAAUUCAUAAAUUGUGGUAGUGAGGCACUACAUUGAUCAGAUCAAACAAUGCUAACCAUCUGACCACAGAUACAACUCAAGUUUAAAAGUGAAUGAAAAAAAAAACAGAGAAACAGUAAGUUUUUCUACAAUUUGAUUUUCAUUUAUUGAAGCGUGACACAGAGUCUUACAAUUUGUUUUAUGCUUGUAUGUGGGUUUAAUCAUGCAUCAGUUGCUUUUUCAUCUCUUCUAAAACACCCAUCGUUAGAAACCUUAAUAGGAACUGCUAUCAAUGGUAGAAUUCAUUUCCUUACAGGAUCUUGAGAUGGUUGAGUAAUGAAGACGAGAAACUGAAAGCAACCAAUAAGCAAAAUACACAUCUUUUAACAUUUCAUUAUCGAAGCUGAAAGGAGAUUACCUUUCUGGCAGUUGCCAUGUGACUUGGUAAUAUUUUCUAGAAAAAUUCCCUCUUUUUUUUUUCUUCUUAUGCAGAUCUAGUUUGAUUUGGGAAUGGAUUGAGAAAAUACCAUCAUAGAAGAAGGAAAACAAAUGACGGGUUCUGUUAUGUGCACACUCAAUUUAGCAUUUCAAACUCUUUCUAUUUGAUUUGGAACUUGCUGUCAAAGGAGAGAUCCAUUUUCCUUUUGUCACGUUUUGUUGUUUCAGUUGGAUUUAGAAAUUGUUUGGAAGGAAAAUGGCAUUUGUAAGUAUUGGGCAUUACAGCUGUUGCUGUUUGAUUUGGGUAAUGGUUUCUGGAGAAGAAAAUAGCAUUACAUCCGCCACUAAUAUGUAGUGAUUUGGGCAUUACAGCUGAUUUCCUGUUAAAUGUUGGCCAUUGGUUGGGACUUUUUUAACCAUCUGUUUGUAAUUAUUGAAAGUCUUCUAGUGGCUAGGAUCACCUAACGUUGUGGUUUUCUGAGGUACGACUAGAAGAAUGGUCCAGAUCUCAUGCAUGGCAUCACAUGUUUGGAGAAGUAUUGCUGGACAACUAACUAUGAUGCAAGUGUCGAAACUGGUUCCUUUCUCAACUUGUUCAAUGCGAAAGCUUGUUAAGUCUGAAAUGAGCCCUGUUUUUUUGUAGUGUUUGGUAUGCUUCGGUAUAGUCAUAUGCAUUAGUUUUUAAUUUCUCUAU